GUGCCAGCAGCCGCGGUAAAACGUAGGUGGCAAGCGUUAUCCGGAUUUACUGGGCGUAAAGGGUGUGCAGGCGGGGAUACAAGUGGUGUAUGAAAUCUCCCAGCUUAACUGGGAGCGGUUAUGCCAGACUGUAUUUCUAGAGGACGAGAGAGGGGGGUGGAAUUCCGGGUGUAGUGGUGAAAUGCGUAGAGAUCCGGAGGAACCCCAGAGGCGAAGGCGGCCCCCUGGCUCGUACCUGACGCUCAGCCACGAAAGCAUGGGGAGCGAACGGGAUUAGAUACCCCCGUAGUCC
rnacentral:rRNA from 1 species